rnacentral:misc_RNA from 1 species
UCGUUCGGAUUGUAGGCCAUCUCGAAAUCCGUCAUCCGGUCGAGGACGUCCUUCAACGACAGCGUCCAUGGCGAACCGUCGCUGCGGGUAUAUGUGAUUUUUCGCGAGGCGAGUUCGGAGGCCAGCACGCCCUGCAACUNGACUCGAUGGUCUUGCCGGCCGGCACCGCGUAACGCGCCGCCCGCCGCGCGAAGCGAUCCGGAAAUCCGCGCACCACAUCGAUCGCAAUCAGCAGACGGAAAUCGCGAGCCGGCGUGGAGUAAUCCUCCC